GCUCGGAUGGCUCAGUUGGUUGAGCGUCCGACUUCGGCUCAGGUCAUGGGUUCAAGCCCCGUCUCAGGCU
rnacentral:tRNA from 1 species